UCCCCCAGUAACGGCGAGCGAAGCGGGAACAGCUCGAGCAUGAAAUCUCCGGCAGUCAUGCCGGCGAAUUGUGGCCGAGAGUGGCAGCUUGGUUCUGGUUCCGAUGCCGAAGUUUGCCUGGAAAGGCACGUCAGAGAGGGCGAGAACCCCGUGCGUGGCAGAGGACACACAGGACCGCCAACUGCACACGGAGAGUCGGGUUGUUUGGGAAUGCAGCCCAAAGUUGGUGGUAAACUCCAUCUAAAGCUAAAUACCGGCACGAGACCGAUAGCAAACAAGUACCGUGAGGGAAAGGUGAAAAGUACUUUGAAAAGAGAGUCAAAGAGAACGCGAAACCGUUAGGAGGGAAGCGAAUGCAGCCAGUACGAGUCCCGUCAGGUUCAGGGGCAGCGGAAGCGUCGCUCCCGGGUUGGCCUAGAUGGCGCCAGGGGGUAGUCGCGCGGCCGCGCAUCUGCACUCCUGCGGGGCUCUUGCCAACGGCAGUGGUGGGUGCCCACGAGCGGUCGGGGAGGUAACCUACCCCUCCUCGGAGGUGGGAGGAACUUAUAACCCCCUCCCGCGACGGGCAUCGGCGACUGAGGAGACGAUCACUUC
rnacentral:rRNA from 1 species